UGACAAACCUGGUUGAUCCUGCCAGUAGUCAUAUGCUUGUCUCAAAGAUUAAGCCAUGCAUGUCUCAGUACAAGCCAAAUUAAGGUGAAACCGCGAAAGGCUCAUUAAAUCAGUUAUGGUUCCUUAGAUCGUACCAACAUUUACUUGGAUAACUGUGGUAAUUCUAGAGCUAAUACAUGCAAACAGAGCUCCGACCGGAGACGGAAGGAGCGCUUUUAUUAGAUCAAAACCAAUCGGCGGCGGGUCCGCUUGCGGGCUCGUCGUCGUUCGCAUUGACGAAUCUGAAUAACUUUCUGCUGAUCGCACGGUCUCGCACCGGCGACGCAUCUUUCAAAUGUCUGCCUUAUCAACUGUCGAUGGUAGGUUCUGUGCCUACCAUGGUUGUAACGGGUAACGGGGAAUCAGGGUUCGAUUCCGGAGAGGGAGCCUGAGAAACGGCUACCACAUCCAAGGAAGGCAGCAGGCGCGCAAAUUACCCACUCCCGGCACGGGGAGGUAGUGACGAAAAAUAACGAUACGGGACUCAUCCGAGGCCCCGUAAUCGGAAUGAGAACAAUUUAAAUCCUUUAACGAGGAUCAAUUGGAGGGCAAGUCUGGUGCCAGCAGCCGCGGUAAUUCCAGCUCCAAUAGCGUAUAUUAAAGUUGUUGCGGUUAAAAAGCUCGUAGUCGAAUCUGUGUCCCGCGCCGCCGGUUCGUCGCUCGCGGCGUUUAACUGGCGUGUUCGCGGGACGUCCUGCCGGUGGGCUUAGCCCUUUCACGAGGGCGGCCCAAUUAUAAUCCCGCCGCGGUGCUCUUUACCGAGUGUCGAGGCGGGCCGGCACGUUUACUUUGAACAAAUUAGAGUGCUUAAAGCAGGCUAAAACUUCGCCUGAAUACUUCGUGCAUGGAAUAAUGGAAUAGGACCUCGGUUCUAUUUUGUUGGUUUUCGGAACACCGAGGUAAUGAUUAAUAGGAACGGAUGGGGGCAUUCGUAUUGCGACGUUAGAGGUGAAAUUCUUGGAUCGUCGCAAGACGGACAGAAGCGAAAGCAUUUGCCAAAAACGUUUUCAUUGAUCAAGAACGAAAGUUAGAGGUUCGAAGGCGAUCAGAUACCGCCCUAGUUCUAACCAUAAACGAUGCCAGCUAGCGAUCCGCCGACGUUCCUCCGAUGACUCGGCGGGCAGCUUCCGGGAAACCAAAGCUUUUGGGUUCCGGGGGAAGUAUGGUUGCAAAGCUGAAACUUAAAGGAAUUGACGGAAGGGCACCACCAGGAGUGGAGCCUGCGGCUUAAUUUGACUCAACACGGGAAACCUCACCAGGCCCGGACACCGGAAGGAUUGACAGAUUGAGAGCUCUUUCUUGAUUCGGUGGGUGGUGGUGCAUGGCCGU
rnacentral:rRNA from 1 species